CCAAAGGCUCUUUUCAGAGCCACCCACGUUUUCCCAUAAAAGGCUGU
rfam:Myotis brandtii contig187577, whole genome shotgun sequence.